rnacentral:rRNA from 1 species
CAGCAGCCGCGGUAACACGGAGGAUCCGAGCGUUAUCCGGAUUUAUUGGGUUUAAAGGGAGCGUAGAUGGAUGUUUAAGUCAGUUGUGAAAGUUUGCGGCUCAACCGUGAAAUUGCAGUUGAUACUGUCAGUCUUGAGUGCAGUUGAGGCAGGCGGAAUUCGUGGUGUAGCGGUGAAAUGCUUAGAUAUCACGAAGAACUCCGAUUGCGAAGGCAGCCUGCUAAGCUGCAACUGACACUGAUGCUCGAAAGUGUGGGUAUCAAACAGGAUUAGAUACCCUGGUAGUCCACACGGUAAACGAUGAAUACUCGCUGUUUGCGAUAUACAGCAAGCGGCCAAGCAAAAGCGUUAAGUAUUCCACCUGGGGAGU